GCAGGCUGCAACUCGCCUGCAUGAAGUUGGAAUUGCUAGUAAUCGCGAAUCAGAAUGUCGCGGUGAAUACGUUCGCGGGCCUUGUACACACCGCCCGUCACACCAUGAGAGCCGAUAACACCCGAAGCCUGUGAGCUAACCGUAAGGGGGCAGCAGUCGAAGGUGGGGUUGGUGAUUGGGGUGAAGUCGUAACAAGGUACC
rnacentral:rRNA from 1 species